rnacentral:rRNA from 1 species
AUUACUUAAGUGACGGUAUCUAACCAGAAAGGGACGGCUAACUACGUGCCAGCAGCCGCGGUAAUACGUAGGUGGCAAGCGUUAUCCGGAAUUAUUGGGCGUAAAGCGCGCGUAGGCGGUUUCUUAAGUCUGAUGUGAAAGCCCACGGCUCAACCGUGGAGGGUCAUUGGAAACUGGGGAACUUGAGUGCAGAAGAGGAGAGUGGAAUUCCAUGUGUAGCGGUGAAAUGCGCAGAGAUAUGGAGGAACACCAGUGGCGAAGGCGGCUCUCUGGUCUGUAACUGACGCUGAUGUGCGAAAGCGUGGGGAUCAAACAGGAUUAGAUACCCUGGUAGUCCACGCCGUAAACGAUGAGUGCUAAGUGUUAGGGGGUUUCCGCCCCUUAGUGCUGCAGCUAACGCAUUAAGCACUCCGCCUGGGGAGUACGACCGCAAGGUUG